UGAAAUAUCCGCCCUAUGUGCAGCUGGUGUUCUCGCCGACCAAGUUAAAAGAAGGCGAAGAGGCCUUCGUCACGUGCCAAGUGGACGCCAACCCCAGCAACGUGACCUACCGCUGGUUCCGCGAGGGCAGGGAGGUGCUGGGCGUCGCGGGCGCCACCAUGCCCUUGGGCGUUCUCUCGAGGAGCAACCAGUCGGCCACGAUCGCCUGCGAGGUGACCAAUGCCCUGGGCACGGCGCGGAAGACGGACCAGCUCAAUAUUCUCUACCCGCCCAUGUUCCUCGCGGAGCCGAGCAGCGUGUCGGGUGAAGUCGGGAACACGGUGGCCAUGAAGUGUCGGGUGGACGCUAAUCCCAAAGCCGAGAUAUUUUGGUCGAGACUUGAG
rnacentral:lncRNA from 1 species